rnacentral:lncRNA from 1 species
GAAUUCCCUUGCCUGGCCUUUUAAUUACAACCCUGCUGGGAAUGACUCCUUGAUGGCACGCCCUCAGGGCCAGGCUUGCAAGAACCACUCCUGGGUCCAGGAACCACGUUGAGGCAGACUUAGACCCUCUGAUCCCCCAACCCUCACGUAUGCUGGACAAGGCUUCACAGAGGAAGCACCCGCGGGGGGAGGGGCGAGGGAGCAGGGAUUGGCAUUGGUCCCGACGAUGUGUGACAAACACUGGGCCGCGUGUGUUUGCUUUCUUUAUGACCAAGGGUGCUGGCGGGGGUGGGGCGGGGGGAGGCUUGGGACUCAGGAUUGCUUCCUCGGUGAACCAGGCUGCCAGGGAGGGGCUGGCUCUGUGGCUGGUGGGGCGGACCCGGUCCACUCCCCUCGGGGUCCCUUCAUUUCUAGAAGGAGUGUCCGACCCCACCCUUGUGACAGGCACUGCUCUUCCAGGACAAGGCUUUUCUGAACUGAUUCCAACUUUAGAAAAGCAAGACUGGUGCUGGCGGGACGUCGUGGAACACAGAACGAGGGGCCGCGGAGGGCGCGCCUUGUUUCUGAAGCACAGCACCCGUCCCGUUUGUCCUCAGUACCCGCUCUGUGCAGGAGGACCUCCUGGGUGUGAUGGCAGCCUUGCAGGAGGGCAUAGCAUUGUUUUGCCCGUGUGUCACCAGGAGGGCUUCCUGGAGGGAACAGCUUUGGGCAGAGGGUGGCCUUGCCGCCCUGAAGGAAUGUUAUGGCCAUCUGACGUUUACGUGUGGCUGAGGCAUGAGACCCCGCCUGGCUUUGGGGGACCACCGCAUCUUGGAGUGUUGCUGGUUCCCUUUCUUCAUGGCGAAUAUACAGAGGGAGACUCUUACUUGCGUAUCAAACUCUGA